AAACAAAGAUGGAAAACUCAUACCGGUAAUCACCCCGGAAGAUGGUCUCCUUAAGCUAAAAUCCUGGGGCCUUGACAACUUACCUGACGACCAGACAACAGGUGCACAACGGAGAAUUAGACUGGACUGGUCCAGAGUCACAAAGAAACGCUGAUAACAUAGACUAUCCUCCAAACUGCCUCCUGGUACCGCAAGUAUCUCACCCAAGCACCUUCAACUCAAAAUAUGCCCUCAGUUCUAUCAGUUAAUAUUGAUAUGUUGUAAUCCCCCAAUCAGACAUGCACACAAAGCAUCUAUUUAAUUGCUGACCUGUGCAAAAUGGGACAUUAACAUACACCUUUAUCGGUAAUGAUGAUAAGACGUAACUCCCG